rnacentral:lncRNA from 1 species
GCCAGCGCGAGACAGCGCGAGCCUCCGAGAAAGCGCGAGACACGCCGGCGCGUGCAGCUCCCCGGCCGCAGCUUCGUCCCGGCCGGAGCCCGGCGCCACCAGCAGUUCAUCCGUCAGUGCCCGCCCAGGGCAUUUAUGCCGCGGCCGCGACUUCCCGCCGCAGCUUCCUCGGGUCCCCCCUCCCCUGGUGUCCCCGAACUCGCGGCCGCGGCUGCCGGGACUCGAGCGUGGGUGUGUUGUUCCGGGGCUUCUGCCUGGGUGCACAGCGGGUGCCACCUCCUGGGACGCUGCCCUCGGGGUCCCCGAUCGCGACCAAACAAGUAAGAGAACUCUGUUGAAGCUCGAUCCUCACCUACUCUCUAAAUAAAAGAAUAUUCCAGAGAAGGAAAGAGAGAAGCACAAAUAUUAAGACUUCUAGACCCCUGGAGAGGACUAAAGUCUACCCCUCCACAUGUCUCUGGAUUUGUUUCCCAUUAGCUGUGGGAGGAAGCUUCUUCGAUGAUGGCUGAUCAAGGCUCUGAACUCUGAGUAUAGCCAAGUGCCACCAGAGAGUCACUUUAUUGCUGUUUUUUUUUUAGUGUAAUUUUGUUUUGUUUCAUUUUAGAAGAGCAGACUUGUUUUUAUUCUAGAUAACUGAACUAUUUAUUCUCCAAUUCUUGAUCACCUAAGCUGUGUCAGGUGUGGGUUCCAUCUUGUGCAGGGAGCCUUCAGUCAAAUCAAAUAUUGGUUGACUACUCCCAUAGGCCUUAUGUUGUAGUUAAGACUUCAAGUACUGUAUUAAAUAGGUAUGUAAAGAGUGAACAACCUUGUCUAAUUAAUGAUUUUAGUGGAAGAGUGUUUCUCUUUAAUUAAGUUAAUUUUAGUUAUGGGCUUCCUGUAAACUGCCUUUAUUAUGUUUAGGAAUGUUCUUUGUGUUCUUAAUCUCUAUAGGAUAUUUUUCAUGAAGGGGUAUUUGAUUUUAAAAUGGUCAUGCAGUAGUUUUCUCAGUUUGUUUAUAGGGUGGACUACAUCUAUUGAUUUCCAUGUAUUGAACCAUCCCUGUGUCUCUGGGAUGAAGGCUGCUUGAUCAUUUGGGGAAACCUUUUUAUGUAUUCUUGUACCCAUUUUCUAAGAUAUAUGGGUGGUUUUUUUUUUUUUUGAGAAAAUUGGAAUCUAUUUUGAUGGUGUAAUCUCUAAUUUUCUUUUUUAUUUUUUUAUUGUGUCUUUAUUUGCUUUUAGUAUCAGGUUAACUGUAGCCUCAUACAAUGAAUUAUAUUGUUCUUUGUGUUUCUAUUUUGUGGAAUAAUUAGAGAAGCAUUGGCAAUAAUUAUUUGAAAGUUUGGUACAACUUUGUGUUAAAACAUCUGGAAUUGGACUUUUUCAGAAUGGGAUACUUAAUGAUUCUUCUGUUCACUAUAAAUCUGUUUAAAUUACUUAUAAGCUCUUGAUUUAACUUUGAUAAGUAGUCUAUGUCAAGAGAUUUAACCAUUUUUUUUCAAGUGGAUGGAGCACAGGCUUUUAAAGUUUUUUCUUAUAAUUCUCUGGAUUUUACUGGUGUCUGCCGUUAUAGUCCAUUUUCAUUUCUAAUUUUAUUAAUUUGGAUAUCCUUUCACCAAUUUAAAGUUGAUUAGGGUAACGAUUUGUAAAAUUUCUCAAAAAAAUCAUCUUUUUGAUUUAUUGAUUCUCUGUAUUGUUUUUGUUGUUGGUUCUGUUUUAUUGAUUCAGGAUUGAGAUUGAUUAUUUAUUGAUUGAUCAUUGCCAUCCAAUGAUCUGAUUGUGAUUUCUUCUUUGUGUGUGUGUGUGUGUGUGUAGGAUUUUUAGGUGUGUUGUUAAGAUACUAGUAUGUGAUCUCUCCUUUUUUGAAUGUAGGUAUUUAGUGCUAUGAUUUUGUCUCUUAAAACUGCCUUUAAUAUAUUCAUAAAUUUAGAUAGAUUGGGUAUUCAUUUUCAUUCAAUUCUAUAAAGUCUUUAAUUUCUAUCUUUAUUUCUAUCCUCAACCAUUAUUCAUUCAUUAGUGAGUUGUUCAGUUUCCAUGAGCUCCUGAGCUUUCUGUUGGUACUGUUGUUGAUUUUCAAUUUUUAUCUGAUAUGAUACAUAGAAUCAUUUCUAUUUUAUUGCAUUUGUUGAGACAUGUUUGUGUCUGAGUAUGUGGUCAUUUUGUAUAAAUUUCAAUUAGGUGCUGAGGAGAAGGUGUAUUCUUUUGUGUUUUGGUGAAAUGUUCUGCAAAUAUCUACUAGGUCCAUUUGGAUUAUGAUGCCAUUUAACUCCAGUAUUUCUCUGUUUAGUUUUUGUCUAGAUUACCUGUCUGUUGGUGAGAGCAGGUUAUUGACAUUUCCCACUAUUAUUAUUUGAGGGUCAAUAUGUGAUUUAAAUGACUGUUAGCAUCCACUUCUGUAUUUGCCAGGCACUGGCAUAGCCUCACUCGAGACAGCUAUAUCAGGGUUCCUUCAGCAAAAUCUUGCUGGCAUAUGCAAUAGUGUUUGGGUUUGGUGGCUGAUUAUGGGAUGGAUCCCUGGGUGGGGCAGUCUCUGGAUGGUCCAUCCUUUCGUCUUAGCUCCAAACUUUGUCUCUGUAACUCCUUUCAUGGGUAUUUUGUUCCCUAUUCUAAGGAGGAGUGAAGUAUCCACACAUUGGUCUUCUUUCUUCUUGAUUUUAUUAUGUUUUGCAAAUUGUAUCUUGGGUAAUCUAAAUUUCUGGGCUAAUAUCCACUCAUCAGUGAGAGCAUAUCUAAUGACUUCUUCUGUUAUUGGGUUAUCUCACUAAGGAUGAUAUCCUCCAGAUACAUCCAUUUGCCCAAGGAUUUCGUAAAUUCAUUGUUUUUAAUAAAAUGUAAAUAAAGAAAAUAUCUAAUAAAAAUAUGUGAUUUAAGCU